rnacentral:rRNA from 1 species
ACAUGCAAGUCGAACGCGAAAGUGGAGCAAUCCAUGAGUAGAGUGGCAAACGGGUGAGUAACGCGUGGGUGACCUGCCUUCGAGUGGGGGAUAACGUUCCGAAAGGGACGCUAAUACCGCAUGACAUCCGGCCUUUGAAGAGGCGGAGAUCAAAGCUGGGGAUCGCAAGACCUAGCGCUCGAUGAGGGGCCCGCGUCUGAUUAGCUAGUUGGUGGGGUAACGGCUCACCAAGGCAACGAUCAGUAUCCGGCCUGAGAGGGCGGACGGACACACUGGGACUGAGACACGGCCCAGACUCCUACGGGAGGCAGCAGUGGGGAAUUGUUCGCAAUGGGCGCAAGCCUGACGACGCAACGCCGCGUGGA